GCCUAACCCCUACCCCCCUCUCCCGGGCCAGAGUCCUCCUCGCUUUAUGGACCCCUGAUAGGAUCGACAGCCGGUCAGAAAUCGGUGACAGGAGAAGGGAGAAUGGAGUAGGGCAUUCCUUUCCCUCCUUCAAAACCAAUCUCUUUCAAGAGGUCUAACUCCUUCAUCAUAUGGAAUUGAAGCAGCUAUGAAACGGAUGUCAAAAUGAUCUAAAGAUGAUGGAAAACGUUUCAACAGUUAAGUAACUUAGACAACUAGUGGGACGAAUCCAAUGGGAAGGAAGAUCCCAGGCUAAUCGCUUCUUAAUUCCAUUCCCUUCUCGGCCCUUAUCCACCAACUUAUCUAGUUUAUAAUGCAUUAUUCUGUACCCAUUCAUGAGUGGCAUUCACAGCUUUGUAACUGUCUUUUAUUUUCAUGAUUUAUUUUUAAGGUUAAAUAGUAAAUUUCUUGAGGACAACUGUGUCUUUUA